UCACCCAUCUAUAGAAAAACUAAGAUGACUAUCCUGAAAUUUUAGUGUGGUUUUACAGUUGCAGGAGUCGGAAGAGCAGCGUGUUCAGUCUGAGCGUUGUGUUCAUGAUUUGAAGACUGCCUUAGAAAAUAAGGAGAGGGAAGUAAUAGCUUCUUCACAGAAACUGCAAGACCUUCUGGAAGCCUCUUUGGAAACUAAUACUACUAUAAAACAACUGGAAGAACAUGUGCAACGACUUGAAAUUGAAAAUGCCAGAUUAGAAGCCACAGCUAAACAACAGACCAAUAGAAUCGAAGUUCUUCAGAAAGAUCUGCAAGCCACUGCCUCAGUUCAUAAUCGCCUGGAGGACUUGAUCACUGGCUUGCGGACAGCACCCAUGCCUUUGGAGGAAGACCAAAAUCAGCAGAUGCAAAAGCAGAAUGUGCUGUCUGUGACAUCAAAAGAUCCACGCAGUACGUGGGAGGAGGAACUGAAAUCACGAUCCCAACUUGAAGAUCGCCUUGCUCAGCUUGAAAGGGAAAAGGCUGAGCUCUUGGAACAGUGUGAGACUGAAAGAAAGGAAGCGAAAGCACUGAUAGAAUUGAAACGACUAGUAGAAGUCCGUCUGGACCRAGCAAUGAAACGAAACRUUGAACUGCAGAAAGAAUGCAACAGGUUCAAGAAGCUUCUGAAAACAGCUAUGAAGAAACUGAAGGUGCAGGAGAUGCGAGAGAGUGAGUCCCAAUUUGGUUCCCAGGGAGAAAKGAAGAACAGGUAUUCUGAAAUGGUCAAUGAAGUCACUAGAUUAAGAACAAAGGUAAGCUUAUUUUUUCUUUUUUUAUACUGUUUUAUUCUUUUCCUUGCUUCUUUCCGUGUUGUUAAUUAUCUGUUGGCUGUAUUUCAAAAYGGACUUSWCUUCUYCACAUUUCAYCUUCYGUAGUAGAAAAUARYRAUGGAUGCCUGUGUAGUUAUCACUGUGGGUAAAAAUGACACCUUCAUGUGCAGGGCAGUCUCCGUGAAGGCAGAAAAAGGGCAGACUGGUGCGCAAAGGGAGGGUGAACCUGGAGCCAAGGGCUGCAGCAAGGCAGGUGGGGGCCGCAGCCUCCUUGCRCGGGGCACGGUCCCAGAGGACAGAAUCACAGAGCGGUAGAGGUUGGAAGGGACCUCUGGAGUUCAUCUAGUUCAACUCCCCUGCUCAGGCAGGGCCACCUAGAGCAUACUGCCCACGACCCCAUCCAGACAGCUUUUGAAUAUCUUCGAGGAGGGAGACUACACCACCUUUCUGGGCAACCUGUKAACCCRAGCAAGAAGAGUAGAGCAGGUCUGGUGACAGUAAGCAGGGUUAGCCAAGAGCCCCAGGGUGGUGCGUAGGGAUGUGCAGGUCCRCAGUCAGGCCAGGAAGUCRAGUCYCCAUGUCAGGGUCAGGGUUGAGAGCAACAUGGCCAGGCACAGACCUGGCCCCAGCGUAGCUCAGGCAGAGACCGAGGACAAGAGCCUAACUUCAGAGCAGCUCCUGAGCUCUGAGGGGCCGAGCCUCUGCCGUGGUCUCUCGCAGCUCUUCCAGUACAGCUGCACUAUGUAAGUCAGCCCUGUAUGGAGUCAGCCAAACUCCUGUGUUUGGAGCCCUGGCAGCACCUUCUAGGCCUGAGGGAUGAAUUCUUUCUCUGGAAGAAAGGUAAAUAAAAGCAUCAUAAAUCUAACA
ensembl:lncRNA